rnacentral:rRNA from 1 species
AGGAAUAUUGGUCAAUGGACGAGAGUCUGAACCAGCCAAGUAGCGUGAAGGAUGACUGCCCUAUGGGUUGUAAACUUCUUUUAUACGGGAAUAAAGUUAGCCACGUGUGGCUUUUUGUAUGUACCGUAUGAAUAAGGAUCGGCUAACUCCGUGCCAGCAGCCGCGGUAAUACGGAGGAUCCGAGCGUUAUCCGGAUUUAUUGGGUUUAAAGGGAGCGUAGGCGGGUUGUUAAGUCAGUUGUGAAAGUUUGCGGCUCAACCGUAAAAUUGCAGUUGAUACUGGCGACCUUGAGUGCAACAGAGGUAGGCGGAAUUCGUGGUGUAGCGGUGAAAUGCUUAGAUAUCACGAAGAACUCCGAUUGCGAAGGCAGCUUACUGGAUUGUAACUGACGCUGAUGCUCGAAAGUGUGGGUAUCAAACAGGAUUAGAUACCCUGGUAGUCCACACAGUAAACGAUGAAUACUCGCUGUUGGCGAUAUACGGUCAGCGGCCAAGCGAAAGCAUUAAGUAUUCCACCUGGGGAGUACGCCGGCAACGGUGAAACUCAAAGGAAUUGACGGGGGCCCGCACAAGCGGAGGAACAUGUGGUUUAAUUCGAUGAUACGCGAGGAACCUUACCCGGGCUUAAAUUGCAACUGACUGAACCGGAAACGGUUCCUUCUUCGGACAGUUGUGAAGGUGCUGCAUGGUUGUCGUCAGCUCGUGCCGUGAGGUGUCGGCUUAAGUGCCAUAACGAGCGCAACCCUUAUCGAUAGUUACUAGCAGGUCAUGCUGAGGACUCUAUUGAGACUGCCGUCGUAAGAUGUGAGGAAGGUGGGGAUGACGUCAAAUCAGCACGGCCCUUACGUCCGGGGCUACACACGUGUUACAAUGGGGGGUACAGAAGGCAGCUACACGGCGACGUGGUGCUAAUCCCGAAAGCCUCUCUCAGUUCGGAUUGGAGUCUGCAACCCGACUCCAUGAAGCUGGAUUCGCUAGUAAUCGCGCAUCAGCCACGGCGCGGUGAAUACGUUCCCG